rnacentral:rRNA from 1 species
GUACACUCCUACGGGAGGCAGCAGUGGGGAAUUUUGGACAAUGGGCGAAAGCCUGAUCCAGCAAUGCCGCGUGUGUGAAGAAGGCCUUCGGGUUGUAAAGCACUUUUGUCCGGAAAGAAAUCCUUGGCUCUAAUACAGUCGGGGGAUGACGGUACCGGAAGAAUAAGCACCGGCUAACUACGUGCCAGCAGCCGCGGUAAUACGUAGGGUGCGAGCGUUAAUCGGAAUUACUGGGCGUAAAGCGUGCGCAGGCGGUUUGCUAAGACCGAUGUGAAAUCCCCGGGCUCAACCUGGGAACUGCAUUGGUGACUGGCAGGCUAGAGUAUGGCAGAGGGGGGUAGAAUUCCACGUGUAGCAGUGAAAUGCGUAGAGAUGUGGAGGAAUACCGAUGGCGAAGGCAGCCCCCUGGGCCAAUACUGACGUUCAUGCACGAAAGCGUGGGGAGCAAACAGGAUUAGAUACCCUAGUAGUCCC